rnacentral:rRNA from 1 species
GAUGAACGCUGGCGGCGUGCCUAAUACAUGCAAGUAGAACGCUGAAGGAAGGAGCUUGCUCUUUCCGGAUGAGUUGCGAACGGGUGAGUAACGCGUAGGUAACCUGCCUGGUAGCGGGGGAUAACUAUUGGAAACGAUAGCUAAUACCGCAUAACAGUAGAUGUUGCAUGACAACUAUUUGAAAGGGGCAAUUGCUCCACUACCAGAUGGACCUGCGUUGUAUUAGCUAGUUGGUGAGGUAACGGCUCACCAAGGCGACGAUACAUAGCCGACCUGAGAGGGUGAUCGGCCACACUGGGACUGAGACGCAGCCCAGACUCCUACGAGAGGCAGCAGUAGGGAAUCUUCGGCAAUGGACGGAAGUCUGACCGAGCAACGCCGCGUGAGUGAAGAAGGUUUUCGGUUCGUAAAGCUCUGUUGUAAGGGAAGAACGAGUGUGAGAGUGGAAAGUUCACACUGUGACGGUAGCUGAACAGAAAGAGACGGCUAACUACGUG